GAGUUUGAUCCUGGCUCAGGACGAACGCUGGCGGCGCGCCUAACACAUGCAAGUCGAACGGAGCUUAAAGAGCUUGCUUUUUAAGCUUAGUGGCGAACGGGUGAGUAACGCGUGAGUAACCUGCCCUGGAGUGGGGGACAACAGUUGGAAACGACUGCUAAUACCGCAUAAGCCCACGGAUUCGCAUGGAUCUGAGGGAAAAGGAUUUAUUCGCUUCAGGAUGGACUCGCGUCCAAUUAGCUAGUUGGUGAGGUAACGGCCCACCAAGGCGACGAUUGGUAGCCGGACUGAGAGGUUGAACGGCCACAUUGGGACUGAGACACGGCCCAGACUCCUACGGGAGGCAGCAGUGGGGGAUAUUGCACAAUGGGGGAAACCCUGAUGCAGCGACGCCGCGUGGAGGAAGAAGGUUUUCGGAUUGUAAACUCCUGUCGUUAGGGACGAUAAUGACGGUACCUAACAAGAAAGCACCGGCUAACUACGUGCCAGCCGCCGCGGUAAUUC
rnacentral:rRNA from 1 species